rnacentral:rRNA from 1 species
CGUGCUUAACACAUGCAAGUCGAACGGAAAGGCCAGUGCUUGCACUGGUACUCGAGUGGCGAACGGGUGAGUAACACGUGGGUGAUCUGCCCUGUACUUCGGGAUAAGCUUGGGAAACUGGGUCUAAUACCGGAUAGGACAACUUUUUGGAUAUUGUUGUGGAAAGCUUUUGCGGUAUGGGAUGAGCUCGCGGCCUAUCAGCUUGUUGGUGGGGUAAUGGCCUACCAAGGCGUCGACGGGUAGCCGGCCUGAGAGGGUGUACGGCCACAUUGGGACUGAGAUACGGCCCAGACUCCUACGGGAGGCAGCAGUGGGGAAUAUUGCACAAUGGGCGCAAGCCUGAUGCAGCGACGCCGCGUGGGGGAUGAAGGCCUUCGGGUUGUAAACUCCUUUCGCUAGGGACGAAGCGUUUUGUGACGGUACCUGGAGAAGAAGCACCGGCUAACUACGUGCCAGCAGCCGCGGUAAUACGUAGGGUGCGAGCGUUGUCCGGAAUUACUGGGCGUAAAGAGCUCGUAGGUGGUUUGUCGCGUCGUUUGUGUAAGUCCACAGCUUAACUGUGGGACUGCAGGCGAUACGGGCAUAACUUGAGUGCUGUAGGGGAGACUGGAAUUCCUGGUGUAGCGGUGAAAUGCGCAGAUAUCAGGAGGAACACCGAUGGCGAAGGCAGGUCUCUGGGCAGUAACUGACGCUGAGGAGCGAAAGCAUGGGUAGCGAACAGG